AUUGAACGCUGGCGGCAUGCUUUACACAUGCAAGUCGAACGGCAGCACGGGCUUCGGCCUGGUGGCGAGUGGCGAACGGGUGAGUAAUAUAUCGGAACGUACCCAGCAGUGGGGGAUAACGUAGCGAAAGUUACGCUAAUACCGCAUCCGAUCUAUGGAUGAAACCAGGGGACCGCAAGGCCUUGUGCUCCUUGCGCGGCCGAUAUCUGAUUAGCUAGUUGGUGAGGUAAAGGCUCACCAAGGCGACGAUCAGUAGCUGGUCUGAGAGGACGACCAGCCACACUGGAACUGAGACACGGUCCAGACUCCUACGGGAGGCAGCAGUGGGGAAUUUUGGACAAUGGGCGCAAGCCUGAUCCAGCAAUGCCGCGUGAGUGAAGAAGGCCUUCGGGUUGUAAAGCUCUUUUGUCAGGGAAGAAACGGUAGAGGCUAAUAUCCUUUGCUAAUGACGGUACCUGAAGAAUAAGCACCGGCUAACUACGUG
rnacentral:rRNA from 1 species